GCCAAACUUGUCGCCUCCGAAGUGAGAACGACAGCGAAGUCCUCCUCCAAAGUGUAAAGGGUUCCUUGGAAAAUAUAAAUAAAAAAUUAUCUACUCUGCAAGUCUCCUGUCAGCUCUACAGACCAGCUGCGGAUUUCACUAGAAGCCACCAGUGAAACCUUGACCAAACUAGUGUUGAAGCCGGAACCAGACAUCGAGACGCCAAGUGAAUAUGAAGAUUUCUGCCUUCCGUUCUGCUUUUUCCAUGGAACAUCUCUAGAGCGAGAGAUUUGUCUUCGACGCGGCGACGCGACCCAAGGCGCAGUCCCCUCCGUUUGCUGCAAAUAUGCCUCUUCCAAUUCACUCCAUUCAACAGUUGUUUUUUGAUUUUGGAUAGUGCAUACCUUGAAGAAUCAUUGCGGCAGUAUUUUUGGCGUCGAGCGUAAGUGGAUGUCACACCUCAGAGAGGGUAACUGAAUAUGGCAAUGCAAUUGCUUAUUAACCCUGGUAUCUAUCCUAAAGCUUCUCCUGGGUAUCGUACAUAUUGUAUACGUAAGACUUUGUGUAUGACGAUUAAUGGCAGGUUUAAUUGUCACAGCUUAUCAGAGACCGCACAUCUGUACUAACUAUAAACCAGAACAACAACAACUUUAUUCUGAAGAUGAUGAAUGGGGAAUUUCAUCGCCACUUACCAAAUGACACCUAACCUAUAAAGGAACAGAAAUGACGAAACUUACCUAGCAGCAUGUGAAACACAAUCAAGGUGCCUCUCUUUAUCCUGGUACGUAGACUACUCGGUCUAGACGACUUGAGCUCUGCAAAAAGGAGUGAAAUCUGGAGAGUGUGGAGGCGCGUUCCGUUUAAAUACAGCAAAGCGCGCCACUCAGCCGCCAGUAGUGAUUGUUUGUAGAGGUGCGUAUCUAGCAAAAUGAUAAAAUCAGUUCAAUGUCAGCUGGUGUGUAGCAAAUAAUUAUAUGUCAACCAAUGCUAAAUACGCUCUGUGUAGCAACAUGAAUCGGUCACCGAUGAGACCCGCCUCGGCCCGGUACCGCGGUGGUUCAAGUUAAGCUCCACCCACUGUGGUUCAAUUUUGCAAUUAAGCUGGGCACCUGUGAAAGCGCUCUAGGCGGCCCGCUGCGUGCAAAUUAGACGUUGUUUGAAGUUAAGCUCCACCAACUGUGGUUGGAGAUUUCAGUUAAUUUAGGCAUGUGCCAAACUGCUGUGGGCGACCCGACCACGUGUGCC